rnacentral:rRNA from 1 species
ACUCUAAGCGGUGGAUCACUCGGCUCAUGGGUCGAUGAAGAACGCAGCAAACUGUGCGUCAUCGUGUGAACUGCAGGACACAUGAACAUCGACAUUUUGAACGCAUAUUGCAGUCCAUGCUGUU